GAAUAAAGACCUAACAGUUCAGAUCACAAUGAAAUACCAACUUAUCACAUUAGUAGUAUUGGUCGUUUUGGUGGACAUAAUUGUUUGUGCAGGUGGCGGCGGAGGAGGUGGCGGUAGUGGAGGAAGUUGGGGAGGCAGAGGAGGAGAUGGUGGUGGACAGGACACAUUUUUUACCGAUUCAUACAGACCUGGAGGAAGAAGGCCGUUUAGAGGUGGAAGACAAUAUGUAGACAAUCAACAAUUUGGAUUUGGAAGCGGUCGAGGUGGACGAGGCGGCGAUGGUGGAAAUGGUUGGUAGACAAAAGUGUUGAUCCAUUCGUCAUUGUGUUUUUGAUGAUGGAAACAGUCUACCGACACAGAUCUACGAUGAAAACUAUCCACUUUAUAUAUACCACAAAGGGGAUAAAGACAGCGGAAGAAUUUUAUGAAAUCUUUUCUAUAGUUUUUUUUUAUUAUGUGUUUUUGAAAUAAAGACUAAACUGAAAAGUAUUCGUAUUGAUUUUGUUAUCUGUUAAUCAAAAGCAAACUGAAUUAAAUAUUAUUGUUAUAUACAUAUACACAUUCGUGGAUCUACAAAUUGACGAUAAAGCUGUUUACCCAAAGGAACUUACUAUACAUAAAU